ACAAUCACUUUUAAAACUCACGAGUAGACAACUUACAAUAACACAACGACAAGUUGUCUAAAUGAUAUAAUUCUCGAAGCUAUUGGUUUAAAAUCUCUACAACACAUCAAUAAAGUAAGGUACAUUAAGUGUUGCAGCGGAAACAACUCAAGUGGAUUACAUGUAUGAGGACAUGAAAUCCCGAGCCUAAAUUAUAUAUAUAUACACCGAGGGCUUUGCUCUGCUUGCUACCAUCUGCAUCACAGCUUAACCUGCAUAUUUAGAAACAUACGCAGGGCUGAGUACCAAAAAGCACUCAGUGGUCAUGCCGAAAUAACUUUAAAGCUUGCUCUUAGAGCUAUAUAUUGAACUUGCCAUCUCAAGCAUCACACAGGAGUUUUAUUUAAAUAACCUGUGCAUGCAAAACUGUAAAACUUCUCGAUAAUCAUCAUAACAUCAUAUACGUCUGCAGACGAUUACUAUGUAUGUACCAUAUCUACGCAUCAUAUAACUUUAAGUGUUGAGAAGUAGGCCUCCUUCUCAAACACGAUGACAAGCUAACUCAAAGGUUAACUGUCAACUCUGUGUACACAAAUCCUGACUCGCUCAGGACCCGAAUUCGUUCUUCUAUGUAGAUGGUAUCAUACAAAUCUCAAAUAUUGGCAAGUCAAUAAUUGGAAAAUAAAUGCAUACACUCAAACUUUAUAUAAUAAAGUAUGCAUCUUUACUUCUUGAGUUAGUAAGCCCACCUGAUAUACUUAACGAUGUAGAAACUCUUGCUCACUUAUCUAGCAUUGUUACUGUCACCUUCAUAAUAGCAAGAUUAUAAAAUAAGGUUGGAUAACUAGAUAAGAAGAAAUAACUAUAAAUAGCAUCCCGAUAAACUUUUAAUCUUUUGCAAAACUAGGGUUGCAUCAACUAAACUAACCAAAAGCAAACAGUAACAUCAUAUCUCUUGGGAUAUCUCAAGUUGAAAAAGUAAGAGUAACUAACCCAUUCUAUAUAGAUUAGUUUACAAUUGAUAACUAAAAUAUCAAUUCAAGAAUUGACCAAUGACUUAAGCAUAGUUUUACUCAACUAUCCCAAGUAAGUAACUUCAAAUAUGUAAUCAUAUAUGAAUCUCAACUUUGAAAAAUCAUAUAAAAUCAACCUCUUCAAAGAAAAAUACAUGAUUUACCUUUUUAGAAAUUUCUUAAAGUCUAUUUUUAAUGAAAAUUUACAAAAAUAGCAAUAUCUCAAGUGUAUAAGAAAUUAUAUCAAGAAAGACAGAAUCUGCCACAGAACUACGCUGCUUCGCGCAGUACAUUUCAGAAAAUUGUUUGACCUACCUAGAGGUCUCGGAUUCAGCUGAAAUUUUGCAGAGAACGACUACACAUGAUGAAGUUAUUACAGUAAAAAUUUCAAGUUAUUUGGACUCCGAAAACAUCAUCAAAAGUACCCCGAAACAUACUGUUCUGUCCAACCCGAAAACUGACAGCAAUGCUCAAUGACAUAUCACUCAUAUUUUUCUCAAAUAAAAGCUAUAGGAUCUCAAAUACAUCAUCUUAAUAUACAUUAGCAUGCUUUAGCUUAACUUAAUUCAUGUUCAACACAUCAACAUAUAGUAGCAUGCUUAAUAUCCUCCAAUUAUUAUCAUAUAAUCUCAUUUUACAACUCAAAGAGUACAAUUACACAAGCAUCAAACAAAUAGCUAUCCUAUAACAAAAAUUCCCAAAUCCACCAAUCCAUCUAAACUAAACUUAUUGGGAAAUCAUGAUUUCUUUUGAGUAAAUACCCAAAUAACUCUCAAUAAUAUCUUUGCAUACAUAUAAACAUUUAUACAUAGUCAAUUAAUGCUAAUAUAAAGGGAAUAGAUUCUAGGGUUCAUGAAAGAGGCUGAAAAUUGGGGCUUUGGGAUAGAACUUCGAUUCCUAUCAUCCUAUCACUAGAUUCUAGUGAAUAUUUACCUCAAGUACAUAUAACAUUUUGUUUAAUAUCUCACUUUAGGAAUCUCAGAGAGAAGUCACCUAUGCCUCGAUUAUUUUGGCAUGAACUCAGAAAUCACAAGCAACAUCAAACACUUUCUUCAAUAACAAGUAGAAUACUUAACUUUUCGACGACGAGGGACGCAACCCUGUUCAGUCGAGCCAAGACGACGAUGAUGACGGCAGCGCUUGCUGCCUCGGAGGGGAUCGUGUAGCAGCAGUAGCGGCGUCGUGAAUGGAGCGGCGCCGCUGAAUCGCCGGUCUUCCACAGACGGCGGAGGUGGCAGCCGAACCAUGACGGCGGGAGUAGAAAAGAAUUAGGGCUCGUUUUCCUUUCUCUCCUUCUCGAGUAUGGAUUCAAGGCAGAGACGGGCGAAGCUCAGCCGUUCGUUGGCCUUCCAGUCGCGACAGUAGUAAUUUCCUUCUUCUAAGAAUUAGGGCUCCACAUCGGAAAAGAAGGGGGAACGGAGAGGACUUCCGGUGCGAGAACUUCGACCACGUCGAAGAGGAGGCUGUUGUAUUGCCGAAUGAGGGGAAAAACAUCAGAUGUGAGAUAGAAGAGAUUUAUACUGAUUUGAAGUCGGUUUCUUAAGCAGCUGCGUGAAAAGCUGAAGGAUACGUGCCAGACGAAUAGCUAAUCUGGAUUAAUAAAUCUAAUCGACAGCUUAGAGCUAAGUGAUUCACUGCUAACACAAAGACUUGGGCUUGGGCCUCUUUAAUAUAAUCAUUGGCCCAAAUGAUAAAGUAUUGGGCUUAUUUAAACUUAGCCCAUAUAUACAUGUAUUGGACUAUAUUCCAAAACUUAACAAAAUCACUAGCCCAGACAAUAAUUAUUGGGCUUUUUACUAUAAAAUUAGAGACUUCUCUUUCUUCUUUAAAUAAUAGAAAUAGAAAUAAUAUUAACUAAUACAUAUAUACCGUAGUGAAAAUGCCGGUGUUACAAUAAGACUAACAACGUGCUCAACUGAGGCUAUUACGAAACUAAGUUUAUUUCCGCUGCGUAUGAUAUCAGUCNCAAGCAUCACACAGGAGUUUUAUUUAAAUAACCUGUGCAUGCAAAACUGUAAAACUUCUCGAUAAUCAUCAUAACAUCAUAUACGUCUGCAGACAAUGAACAUGUAUGUACCAUAUCUACGCAUCAUAUAACUCUGAGUGUUGAGAAGUAGGCCUCCUUCUCAAACACGAUGACAAGCUAACUCAAAGGUUAACUGUCAACUCUGUGUACACAAAUCCUGACUCGCUCAGGACCCGAAUUCGUUCUUCUAUGUAGAUGGUAUCAUACAAAUCUCAAAUAUUGGCAAGUCAAUAAUUUGAAAACAAAUGCAUACACUCAAACUUUGUAUUAAAGUAUGCAUCUUUAACUGUUGAGUUAGUAAGCCCACCUGAUAUACUUAACGAUGUAGAAACUCUUGCUCACUUAUCUAGCAUUGUUACUGUCACCUUCAUAAUAGCAAGAUUAGAAAAUAAGGUUGGAUAACUAGAUAAGAAGAAAUAACUAUAAAUAGCAUCCCGAUAAACUUUUAAUCUUUUGCAAAACUAGGGUUGCAUCAACUAAACUAACCAAAAGCAAACAGUAACAUCAUAUCUCUUGGGAUAUCUCAAGUUGAAAAAGUAAGAGUAACUAACCCAUUCUAUAUAGAUUAGUUUACAAUUGAUAACUAAAAUAUCAAUUCAAGAAUUGACCAAUGACUUAAGCAUAGUUUUACUCAACUAUCCCAAGUAAGUAACUUCAAAUAUGUAAUCAUAUAUGAAUCUCAACUUUGAAAAAUCAUAUAAAAUCAACCUCUUCAAAGAAAAAUACAUGAUUUACCUUUUUAGAAAUUUCUUAAAGUCUAUUUUUAAUGAAAAUUUACAAAAAUGCAAUAUCUCAAGUGUAUAAGAAAUUAUAUCAAGAAAGACAGAAUCUGCCACAGAACUACGCUGCUUCGCGCAGUACAUUUCAGAAAAUUGUUUGACCUACCUAGUGGUCUAGGAUUCAGCUGCAAUUUUGCAGAGAACGACUACACAUGAUGAAGUUAUUACAGUAAAAAUUUCAAGUUAUUUGGACUCCGAAAACAUCAUCAAAAGUACCCCGAAACAUACUGUUCUGUCCA
rnacentral:lncRNA from 1 species